UUUUCCCUGCCUUGUGCGCGGACUGCUGUCUUAUAACCCUACUACAAUGUGAUUUCGGGAGCUUAGCUCCGGGGCCGGAUUGCAGACCUCCCCACCGGGAGAUUUCCCCCGGCUGGGACGAAGGGAGCAGGAACGUCCCGGGCGGCACCCACCUGCUGACAAUGGUAGCAGGUUAUCAACGACGGCGAUACGGCUUGGCGGGGCAAAG
rnacentral:other from 1 species